rnacentral:rRNA from 1 species
GAAAUUCCAAUCGAACCCGGAGAUAGCUGGUUCUCCCCGAAAUAGCUUUAGGGCUAGCGUCGCAGCGAGAGAGCCGUGAAGGUAGAGCACUGAAUAUGCGAUGGCCGCAUCCCGCGGUACUGAGCAUAAUCAAACUCCGAAUGUCACGGUGUCAUCUGCGGCAGUCAGACGGCGAGUGAUAAGGUCCGUCGUCAAGAGGGAAACAGCCCAGACCAUCAGCUAAGGUCCCAAAGUGCAUGCUAAGUGGAAAAGGAAGUGGAGACGUGCAGACAACUAGGAGGUUGGCUCAGAAGCAGCCAUCCUUCAAAGAGUGCGUAACAGCUCACUAGUCGAAUGACUCUGCGCCGAUAAUUUACCGGGGCUAAGCAUGACACCGAAGCUAUGGACAGGAAUGUGGUAGGGGAGCAUUGCAUGCAGCGGAGAAGCAUGACCGGGAGGGCAUGUGGAGCGCAUGGAAGAGAGAAUGCCGGCGUGAGUAGCGGCACGUGGGUGAGAAUCCCACGCACCGAUGGCCCAAGGUCUCCAGAGGAAGGCUCGUCCUCUCUGGGAUAGUCGGGACCUAAGGCGAGGCCGAAAGGCGUAGCCGAUGGACGACGGGUGGAUAUUCCCGUACCCGAUGUGUGGCGAUGGAGUGACGGAGAAGGCUCAGGCAACCAGCUGCUGGAAUAGCUGGGGCAAGCGAGAUACCUGCGCACCAGGGAAAUCCGGUGCGCAUAAGGGGAAGGCGCGAUGCAUACGGAAAGCUUCGGCAAGUACGGAAAAGCUGAGAGCAGGCUUCCAGGAAAAGCUUCUAGCACAACACACAUCGGCCCGUACCGAAAAUGGACACACAUGGGCAAGGAGAGAAUCCUGAGGUGAGCGAGAGAACUAUAGCUAAGGAACUCUGCAAAAUGACCCCGUAACUUAGGGAGAAGGGGUGCUCCAGAAAUGGAGCCGCAGUAAAACGGCCCAAGCGACUGUUUACCAAAAACACAGCUCUCUGCGAAGGCGCAAGCCGAAGUAUAGGGGGUGACGCCUGCCCGGUGCUGGAAGGUCAAGGGGAGCUGUCAGCGCAAGCGAAGCAGCGAGCCGAAGCCCCAGUAAACGGCGGCCGUAACUAUAACGGUCCUAAGGUAGCGAAAUUCCUUGUCGGGCAAGUUCCGACCCGCACGAAAGGCGUAACGAUUUGGGCGCUGUCUCAGCUGUAGACUCGGUGAAGUCUUAGUACCUGUGAAGAUGCAGGUUGCCCGCGACUAGACGGAAAGACCCCAUGGAGCUUCACUGCAGGUUGACAUUGGGCUUGGAUGCAUGAUGUACAGGAUAGGUGGGAGGCUGUGAGCCGUGCGCGCCAGCGUACGGGGAGCCGCUGUUGGGAUACCACCCUUCAUGCAUCUAGGUCCUAACCGGAGGCAACGGGCCACGGGACAGUGUCAGUCGGGCAGUUUGACUGGGGCGGUCGCCUCCCAAAGAGUAACGGAGGCGCCCAAAGAUACCCUCAGCAUGGAUGGAAACCAUGCAUAGAGUGCAAAGGCAUAAGGGUGUCUGACUGCGAGACAUACAGGUCGAGCAGGGACGAAAGUCGGGCUUAGUGAUCCGGCGGAUCCGAAUGGAAGGGCCGUCGCUCAACGGAUAAAAGCUACCCUGGGGAUAACAGGCUGAUCUCCCCCAAGAGUUCACAUCGACGGGGAGGUUUGGCACCUCGAUGUCGGCUCAUCGCAUCCUGGAGCUGAAGUCGGUUCCAAGGGUUGGGCUGUUCGCCCAUUAAAGCGGUACGCGAGCUGGGUUCAGAACGUCGUGAGACAGUUCGGUCCCUAUCUGUCGUGGGCGCAGGAGGUUUGAGGAGAGCUGCCCCUAGUACGAGAGGACCGGGGUGGACGGACCGAUGGUGCACCAGUUGUCACGCCAGUGGCACAGCUGGGCAGCCAAGUCCGGACGGGAUAAGCGCUGAAGGCAUCUAAGCGUGAAGCCCCCUCCAAGAUGAGACCUCCCAUUGGCGACAAGUAAGGCCCCUCGAAGACGACGAGGUUGAUAGGCCGCGAGUGCAAGCGCAGCGAUGUGCUUAGCGGGGCGGUACUAAUAGGCCGAGGACUUGGCCAA